rnacentral:tRNA from 1 species
CAAAUAAUAGUUAAUUUAUAACGUUAGUAUUGGAAACUAUCAUUCACAACAUCUGUGUUAUUUGA